CUCUCUUACCCUUAGCCAGCAGGCUCCGCUGUGGUAAGGGCGCCUCAGAGACUGCACUGGCGCCGACUCGAAGGCCCCAGAGCCUCUCUCUGACAGGACGGCGCUUCCCUCCGGGGCUCCCCGCGGGGGAGCCCCGGGCUCGCGGAGGCUCCACGUGAGCGCUCCCCCCACGCCGAGCGCGCGCACGCCUGCCCGCCAGCGCCUUCGCGGAGGGAUCUGGGAGUGAAGCGCCGGGCCGGGCGCGGGUCGCACAGGUGCUUCGGCCGGACGCGAAACGGCUUUCAGUGGUUAGAAAGAAUGGAUGAUGUAGCUGCCCCACUUCCUACUUGCACUCUUGUUUACUGGAAAAAUGCAUGGGAGAUCUGUGGAGGCGGUAAAGCGAGGAGUUCUGACUCUGGAAGGAAUUUUGCUAAAGUGAGGUCAAAAAGAGCAGUUAACAAAUGCAUCAUCACAUUCCGAUGUGUAGACUUUUUAAACCUGAAUCAUCUGUAAAGCUGAGGGCAUCGUUUGAAAACACUGACAAUUUCCUGUUAAUUUUCCCUAAAUGAAAUCAUCAAAUGCAUUUGUUUUUAUUCUGAAAAAAAUGUCCUUUGCUACAAAAUA